rnacentral:rRNA from 1 species
CAGUAGCCACGGUAAUACAGAGGGUGCGAGCGUUAAUCGGAUUUACUGGGUUUAAAGGGUGCGUAGGCGGAUCUGUAAGUCAGUGGUGAAAUCUCCAGGCUUAACCUGGAAACUGCCGUUGAUACUAUAGGUCUUGAAUUUUGUGGAGGUUAGCGGAAUAUGUCAUGUAGCGGUGAAAUGCAUAGAUAUGACAUAGAACACCAAUUGCGAAGGCAGCUGGCUACACAACUAUUGACGCUGAGGCACGAAAGCGUGGGGAUCAAACAGGAUUAGAUACCCCCGUAGUCCCUGUCUCUUAUAC